AUCCAUGAGUGGGCGAUUUUUGGUAAGCAGAACUCGCGAUGGGGAAUCAACCAAAAGGCAUGCUUAAGGCGCCGAAAUCUCGGUUAAUGUAGAGAAAAAAGCGUGCGCAUUUGAAGACAGUCAUGACGUGGCCAUGGAAGUUGGAAUCGUCUAAGGAGUGUGUAACAACUCAAUGACCGAAAAUGGGUGCCUUGAAAAUGGAUGGCGCUGAAACCGAGUGCCUAGAGCAGCCGGAUGGACCAGGGGUAGAGGGCCAUCCUGUAGGCUAGCGUGCAGAGUGGGGCGAAGGUGUGCAGCAGUGAUGCUGACUGGACCGCUCUGUAGUGCAGAUCUUGGGGCUAGUAGCAAGUAGAGAAG
rnacentral:rRNA from 1 species